rnacentral:lncRNA from 1 species
UAGCGGCGCCGGGACGAAUCCCUCGCGGCUCCUUCCGAGGCGCUCUCAGGCAUUUAUCGGUCACCUCGAAGCACCGGCGCUGCCUUUCCGCCCCGCCGCGGGCUCGCGGUGCGCGUCCGGCCGCUCCGGUCCUGCAGCGGGCGGGCACACGCGCUGUCAGCGGCUCCGUUCCCUCAGCGCUCCCCCAGCCCCGCGCGCCGCCGACGCCCGUUAACGACCGUUACCCGGGGCGCGAGGCGGCCCCGCGCGAGCUGCAGCCCUCGCCUCGCGCCCCUGCCUCGCGCUCAGCCGCUCACGCGCCGCUCGGAGGAGCAGAAGCGGAGGAGCUGCGCGUUGUCCGCGCGGGACGGAGCGUUCGCUCCCCUCCGUCCCCAGGCAACGCCGUCGGGCUUCCCGAAGCCGCUGCGGGGCACCCAAACAGCGGCCGCCCCGGCAACGCAGCGCGUGUGCUCGCAACGGGGGGCACCGGCGCGAGGGAGCGCCGCCCCGCGCUCCUACCUGGGAGGGGCCGCCCCCGAGCCCCGUCCUGCCGCCGCCGCGCCGGGCUCAUGGGCUCAGCCGCGCCGCCCCGCCGGCCGCCCGACGGAAGGCGGCCCGGGCCAUUACCCCGGCGCGGCGGCGGGGCCGGCCCUUCGCUUGAGCCGGUCGGGGCGGGCAGGGGGAGGGCUGUGCGGCCGGGGCCGCCCCUCGGGGCUUUGACAGCGGCGCGGCGGGGAGCGGGGUCCGCCCGCGGGCUCGGGCUGGCGGAGAGGGGCAGGGCCGGGCGCCCCGCGCCGGCUCCGGCCGCUGCGGCGCGUCGCCGAGGAGCAGCAGAGGGUGCCGAGGCCGUGCCGAGCGCCCGGGCGGCGGGAGGAGCGAGAUGCUCUGAAUGCUGUACAUUUGGUGUGAGGGAGGCAGCCCUCCCCAACAGACACAAGAUGUGGAGAAGAACACGCUGUUCUGGGAACAGAGGCCGUGCUCACCCGGCUCCGAAGCGCUGGUGGCGAGGAGGGGCUGGGGGCAAAGCACAUCGCAGCUCCCAGCUUCGGCAGCACCUUGCACUGAGGCCCUCCGCAGCCAGCUGAUUAUCCACCGCAGGUUAUCUCGUGGAGAUGUAGAUGUUGUAGCUCAAGCUGCAGGUUAUGAAUAGGAUACAGGUGAUGAAUAACAAGAGACUUGCCCAUCUGCCCACUCACUUCUACUUGGUGACUGAGGGAAGAGAAGGCUAACUCUAUCCCCAGCUGGAUUGAAAUCUCAGCUCACAUGAACCAAGAAAAAGCCAGACCAUAGCCAGGGUGCUGACCUGGGUCCUUGUCACUGAAACACCAAGCAGCCAUGAGACAGCUUCCUGCCCUUGUGUUUUUGGCACCUGGUGCUGGGGAACAAGGCACUCACACCAAAACCAGCUAGUGGACUGUAUUAGCCACAGAAACUGGGCAGUCCUACACCACCACAGUACAGUCAGCAUAACUGCCCUGAGCGUGCACAAAAGGUCACGCUGCAGAAAGAAGAAACCCAGAGAAGCUGAGAACUCCAGUUCCCUGAGUAGUUGUUCUGUGGUAGGAGAGGAAUGAAGCACAACAGUUGAGCGUAAG